UACGUAGGUGGCAAGCGUUGUCCGGAUUUACUGGGCGUAAAGAGCGCGCAGGCGGUCGUUCAAGUCGCGUGUGAAAGCCCCCGGCUCAACUGGGGAGGGUCACGCGAUACUGAUCGACUCGAAGGCAGGAGAGGGUAGUGGAAUUCCCGGUGUAGUGGUGAAAUGCGUAGAUAUCGGGAGGAACACCAGUGGCGAAGGCGACUACCUGGCUGUUCUUGACGCUGAGGCGCGAAAGCAUGGGGAGCGAACAGG
rnacentral:rRNA from 1 species